CUCAGAUUGAACGCUGGCGGCAGGCUUAACACAUGCAAGUCGAGCGGAAACGAGGAUAGCUUGCUAUUCGGCGUCGAGCGGCGGACGGGUGAGUAAUGCUUGGGAAUAUGCCUUAUGGUGGGGGACAACAGUUGGAAACGACUGCUAAUACCGCAUAACGUCUACGGGCCAAAGAGGGGGAUCUUCGGACCUCUCGCGUCAAGAUAUGCCUAGGUGGGAUUAGCUAGUUGGUGAGGUAAUGGCUCACCAAGGCGACGAUCCCUAGCUGGUCUGAGAGGAUGAUCAGCCACACUGGAACUGAGACACGGUCCAGACUCCUACGGGAGGCAGCAGUGGGGAAUAUUGCACAAUGGGCGAAAGCCUGAUGCAGCCAUGCCGCGUGUAUGAAGAAGGCCUUCGGGUUGUAAAGUACUUUCAGUUGUGAGGAAGGGGUUAACGGCGUAAUAGCGUUAUCUCUUGACGUUAGCAACAGAAGAACG
rnacentral:rRNA from 1 species